GGACUUCAUGUUCAUGGACUUGGAGAGGCAGUCCAGGAGUCCAUUCUCCCCCUUAAAAGCUAUGUAGUCAAGAAGGUCAAUGCCGACACCAUCAACAAAUUGCCAGGAAAGAACCUGGAAUUAGACCUUCAGGAAACCCAUAUUCAUGUGUGAAAUGGAAAAAUAUUCUCGCCUAGAGCUCAGGGGUGUCUUGAGAAGUUUCUGCCCUGUCCCUGUGGAAUAUACAAGACACAAAGGUUCUCUAAUGGUGCCUUCAGCUAAGAAUGUCCUGAGCUUUAUCCCAAACAUGGAACCUCACAUAGCAUCACAUUGAACCAAUGGACUCUGUGCAGUAGAAGAAAGAUGCUGUGGAUUAUAGAGAGAAUCAGAUAUGCAGCUUUAUGAUCCACUGGUCACCAUCAUAAGCCACCACACUCAGUGGUCCUGGAAAGAUGAUGGAAGGGUUCCACUAAAAAGACAUCCAGGAGAUGCAGCUUAAGGAAUAUGGCUCUUAUGCUUCAUAGUACAAUGUAUCACCUAUAUUUACCUCAUGGUAUAGUUGUCUCUUCUGAAUACACAGUCCAAUAUGUAAUUAGUAUAAGUAAAGGUGGUCUUAUAUCUGUCACUCCCACUGACCUUUGGAACAUGUGCUGCAGAUGCUUGCAGGUUUAGAGGCUUUGAGACUUAGACUGGUAUGCUAGCACAUGCAUUUUGGUAAAUAUCAAACUGUAGCCACUGCCUGAUUGAUUACAUUGGAUUCUGCAUAUCAAGACCAACUGCUUCAAUAAAAAUAAUUAACCUUGAUUUUUUGAUACCCCCUUGCCAGGUUGUAUGGCAGAGGAACAAAUGAUCCAAGCAUGAAUGGAAAAGGCAUGAAGACUCUGAGAACAGGUGUCUCAGAGAGAAGAAUCUGAGCCAUCCUUACCGGAUAAGUCACUUAGCUAUCACAUAUCCCAACCAAGGGGUUUAAGAAUGGAUGAUACCAGUGAGACCUGAAAGGUUUCUGCUAUAGUCUGAGGAAUAGCUGCAACAGUAGUGGCUGCAGCUCACUCCACUAAUACUCUUUUGAGUUUCCCUAGCAAAAGAUGACCACCAGAGAGUCCUGAAGACUACGGGUGUUAAAAGGGAAACCAAGCAAGGCCAACAGAAAUGUCUGCAGAAUUCUAACCACUGUGUCCUUUGGUUGCUGAUUAUUAUUGUCAGGUUAAUAUGGUCUCUAUACCCAAGAGAAUGCCUCCUGCCCAAGACCAGCCUUCAUUGAGUGACUGGAAGAUACUGAGAUAUGAUAGACUUCCCUCAACAUUCUAUGGAAUUACUUUAAAGGUCUCACAGGAUGUGCUGGGAUAUUCUUUGUGAUUGUAUAUUUCUUUCACCCUCAGGUGUUGAUUUCCAGGGUAUUUCCAAUAAACUUUGUAUGC
rnacentral:lncRNA from 1 species